rnacentral:rRNA from 1 species
UACGGAGGGGGCAAGCGUUGUUCGGAAUCACUGGGUGUAAAGGGUGCGUAGGCGGUCCGUUAAGUCUGAUGUGAAAGCCCUGGGCUCAACUCAGGAAUUGCAUUGGGAAACUGGCGGGCUGGAGUACGGGAGAGGGAAGCGGAAUUCCUGGUGUAGCGGUGAAAUGCGUAGAUACCAGGAGGAACACCGGUGGCGAAGGCGGUUUCCUGGCCCAGUACUGACGCU